rnacentral:rRNA from 1 species
CUGGGUUUCCCACAGAAAACUUAAAAAAAAAACUAGUUGAACUGAAACAUCUAAGUAAACUAAGAAAAAAUCAACCGAGAUUCUGAUAGUAGCAGCGAGUGAAAUUGGAAAAGAAAAACGACAAACUUGCUCCCCCUAAACCUCGGCGGCAAAGCCGUCCUAAACCAUAGAAGGUGUAGUUAAGUCCUUUAAGGGAAAUAAAUUGCUCUUGCAAAAAAAGAGAAAUAUUGAGAGAGUCGUGUAAAAGUAAGGCACCCGCAAUAGUGUUUGAAAAUCAAGGUACCUUCCUUGAAGACUUAAUGAAUUUUUAUGACCGAUAGUGAACAGUACCAUGAGGGAACGAUGAAAAGACCUCAUCAUUUUGGAGAGUGAAAUAGUUCUGGAAAUACAAAGUGACAUCUAUUGAAAAUCAAGUAAUGUACCUUUUGCAUAAUGGACCAGCGACUACAUUUAUUUAGCGAGUUUAAGCUAAGCUAGACGUAGAGAAAUCAUAUAGAGCCCCUCGUAUAAUGAGGACCUGGCUUGGAUUGUUAGAUAAAUGUUAUCCGAAAGCAAGUGAUCUAGUUAUGAACAGGCUGAAGAGGAGAUAUCAUUUCUUGGAGGGCCGAACUCGUGUAUGUUGCAGAAUACUGAGAUGAUUUGUAAUUAGGGGUGAAAGGCCAAUCAAACUUGCAGAUAGCUGAUUUUUUGCGAAAUCUAUUGAAGUAGAGAGGAUUCUCUUUUAACUUUUAGGGUGUAGAGCACUCGCUAGACUAGGGUGGCCCAAAGCUUUACCAAACCUAACGAAACUCCGAAGACCUAUGAAUCAGUAUGUAGCAAACUCAAGCUAUUAUUACGAAAAAGUAAGAGUCUAUACAGAGUGUGGGUGCUAAGGUCCACACUCAAAUGGGAAACAGCCCAAAUGCGUUUUUAAAGUCUCUAACCGAUGGCUUCGA